ACGAGCUUCCUGUCCACCCACGAUGCGAUCUGCGCCAAACCCCCCGCAAGGCCGCAACCCCGUCCCCUCGCAUCGCGUUCCAUCUCUCGCCAAAUCGUCGUCGCCUCGCCCUCACGGUCGCGCUUGAAGUCUGCAAUGGCCGCCGGACCAGGUCACCAUCACCUCGCCCUCACCGUCGCACCGCUGCCACCGCAUCCCCCGGUUCAACUCCACUGAGAUCGACUUCUCCCUCGUCUGCGCCGCCACCAACCGUCGAGGACAAUACCAACGACGCCUCGCCGAUCUCCUCCGCGGCCACUGCCGACCGGCACCGACUCCCGCCUCGCCGAUGUCCUCCGCGGCCGCUGUUGACCGGCGCCGACUCCUGCAUCGUCGCCCCGCGUCACUACCGACCGGUACAGCCGAGCCGAAGCCAGCGCUGCCUGCCUGACCACAUCGCCGCCAUCACCCAGCCAGGCAUUUCUUCUUCAGGCUACAGGUAAUUUCAUUUUUAUGGAGUGAUCAAGCAUAAUCAGGGGAUACGCUGCAAAACAGAUCUCCUCUCCCUAGAGGACUUCUACAUGGAGUGAUCUAUCAGACCAAUUUAGUUUUGACUUGAGGCUAUCAAUUUAAAACUGUGUAGAAAAUAUAAAAUGGGAAAAUAAUAUACUCUUGCCCCUGUCUUCCUUGGA